UAUGGGGGAUGGUUCAUGGGUUAUUCAUUUUCUGCUUCUUUGAAAGAUUCACCAAGCAGAUUCUUUUUUUUUGGCACUCUGAUAUCUCAUUUAUUUUCCAAUAACAGGCAAUAGUUCUCACAGAGAAAGGAAAUCCAUUCUACAAUCUACAGAUGUUUGUGAUCAUGUGAUUGAAAAUGAAAAUUAAUUGAACAAGAACUAUGAAGAGAAGAAUUGGUGCGGCAAUGGAGACAAGUAACGCAAAACUAGAGCUGA
rnacentral:misc_RNA from 1 species